AUGGCGGCGCGUUGCAACACGCCUAGUGUCAACCUCUUAUCCCUCCUCCUCCUCUCCGGCGCCGUCCUCGUCGGCGCCGCCGACAACUCCGUCAAGGACGCCUGCGCCAAGGCGCCAGACCAGCAGUUCUGCGCGGCCUUCCUGGCGGGCAUCCCGGAGAGCAGGACGGUGGACGCGCGCGGGCUGGCGGAGCUGGGCAUCCGCGCCGCUGCCAAGAUCGGGGCCGCGGAGGGCACGGCCGCGCGCACCCAGCUGAACCUGGUCACCAUCAAGAGCCCGCAGUGGCAGUGCAUGGACUCGUGCGUCGCCGACGUGGAGGAGGCCGUCUCCCACCUCGACGUCGACAGGGGCAAGGGCGGCGUCACCGCCAUCGACGACGCCAAGUUCAAUGACGCGCGCGACUACGUGGAGACCGCCGAGAAGGACGGGCUGACGUGGAACUGCGACCAGUGCCGGGAUGGCCUCACGGCGCCCGUCAAGACCGGGCUGCUACCGAAAGGCAACGAGUUCGAGAAGGUCAUGGGGGCCGUCACCGCCCUCAUCAAGCGGGCCGACGGGAGCGCCGCGCCGGCGCCGGCGCCCGGCCCGUCCUGA
rnacentral:rRNA from 1 species